rnacentral:tRNA from 1 species
CGGGAUGUAGCGCAAUUGGUUAGCGCACCAGCAUGGGGUGCUGGAGGCUGCGGGUUCGAGUCCCGCCAUCCCGACCA